UAGAAAUGCAAUUGAAGGAACAGGACUUGGCUAAUGAUGGAGAAACCAUGAUGAGUUUGGAGACACAAGUCGAAGGAAUGUUAACUUUAUUUUGGAAUGGGAUAUGGCUAGAGAAUAUGUUGUACAUGAGUUCAUGGAAUCAUGGAGGAAACUUUCAGAAUCACUAUGAACUGUGAUAAGCCAACAUGGACAGUUACAGGAACUCAAUGGUUAUUCAACGGUUUUAGUUAUG
rnacentral:lncRNA from 1 species